rnacentral:rRNA from 1 species
GGGCCCGCACAAGCAGUGGAGCAUGUGGUUUAAUUCGAUGCAACGCGAAGAACCUUACCAGGCCUUGACAUCCUCGGAACUUUCUAGAGAUAGAUUGGUGCCUUCGGGAACCGAGUGACAGGUGCUGCAUGGCUGUCGUCAGCUCGUGUUGUGAAAUGUUGGGGUUAAGUCCCGCAACGAGCGCAACCCUUAUCCUUGUUUGCCAGCGAGUAAUGUCGGGAACUCCAGGGAGACUGCCGGUGAUAAACCGGAGGAAGGUGGGGACGACGUCAAGUCAUCAUGCCCCUUACAUCCUGGGCUACACACGUACUACAAUGCUACGGACAAAGAGCAGCAAGUUCGCGAGGACAAG